AGGGUUUGAUCAUGGCUCAGAACGAACGCUGGCGGCAGGCCUAACACAUGCAAGUCGAGCGCGCCUUCGGGCGAGCGGCGGACGGGUUAGUAACGCGUGGGAACGUGCCCAGAUCUACGGAAUAGCCACUGGAAACGGUGAGUAAUACCGUAUACGCCCUUCGGGGGAAAGAUUUAUCGGAUUUGGAUCGGCCCGCGUUAGAUUAGGUAGUUGGUGGGGUAACGGCCUACCAAGCCUACGAUCUAUAGCUGGUUUUAGAGGAUGAUCAGCAACACUGGGACUGAGACACGGCCCAGACUCCUACGGGAGGCAGCAGUGGGGAAUCUUGGACAAUGGGGGCAACCCUGAUCCAGCCAUGCCGCGUGAGUGAAGAAGGCCCUAGGGUCGUAAAACUCUUUCGCCUGUGAUGAUAAUGACAGUAGCAGGUAAAGAAACCCCGGCUAACUCCGUGCCAGCAGCCGCGGUAAUUC
rnacentral:rRNA from 1 species